UACGUAGGGUGCAAGCGUUGUUCGGAAUUACUGGGCGUAAAGCGCACGUAGGCGGCUUUGUAAGUUAGAGGUGAAAGCCCGGGGCUCAACCCCGGAUCGGCCGUGCCGACUGAGAGGCUGGAGCACUGUAGAGGCGAGGUGGAAUUCCGGGUGUAGCGGUGGAAUGCGUAGAGAUCCGGAAGAACACCGGUGGCGAAGGCGGCUCGCUGGGCAGUGGCUGACGCUGAGGCGCGACAGCGUGGGGAGCAAACAGG
rnacentral:rRNA from 1 species